GUUUGAUCAUGGCUCAGGAUGAACGCUGGCGGCGUGCUUAACACAUGCAAGUCGAACGGAAAGGCCCAAGCUUGCUUGGGUACUCGAGUGGCGAACGGGUGAGUAACACGUGGGUGAUCUGCCCUGCACUUCGGGAUAAGCCUGGGAAACUGGGUCUAAUACCGGAUAGGACGAUGGUUUGGAUGCCAUUGUGGAAAGUUUUUUCGGUGUGGGAUGAGCUCGCGGCCUAUCAGCUUGUUGGUGGGGUAAUGGCCUACCAAGGCGUCGACGGGUAGCCGGCCUGAGAGGGUGUACGGCCACAUUGGGACUGAGAUACGGCCCAGACUCCUACGGGAGGCAGCAGUGGGGAAUAUUGCACAAUGGGCGCAAGCCUGAUGCAGCGACGCCGCGUGGGGGAUGACGGCCUUCGGGUUGUAAACUCCUUUCGCUAGGGACGAAGCGUUUUUGUGACGGUACCUGGAGAAGAAGCACCGGCUAACUACGUGCCAGCAGCCGCGGUAAUACGUAGGGUGCGAGCGUUGUCCGGAAUUACUGGGCGUAAAGAGCUCGUAGGUGGUUUGUCGCGUCGUUUGUGUAAGCCCGCAGCUUAACUGCGGGACUGCAGGCGAUACGGGCAUAACUUGAGUGCUGUAGGGGAGACUGGAAUUCCUGGUGUAGCGGUGGAAUGCGCAGAUAUCAGGAGGAACACCGAUGGCGAAGGCAGGUCUCUGGGCAGUAACUGACGCUGAGGAGCGAAAGCAUGGGUAGCGAACAGGAUUAGAUACCCUGGUAGUCCAUGCCGUAAACGGUGGGCGCUAGGUGUGAGUCCCUUCCACGGGGUUCGUGCCGUAGCUAACGCAUUAAGCGCCCCGCCUGGGGAGUACGGCCGCAAGGCUAAAACUCAAAGGAAUUGACGGGGGCCCGCACAAGCGGCGGAGCAUGUGGAUUAAUUCGAUGCAACGCGAAGAACCUUACCUGGGCUUGACAUACACCAGAUCGCCGUAGAGAUACGGUUUCCCUUUGUGGUUGGUGUACAGGUGGUGCAUGGUUGUCGUCAGCUCGUGUCGUGAGAUGUUGGGUUAAGUCCCGCAACGAGCGCAACCCUUGUCUUAUGUUGCCAGCACGUGAUGGUGGGGACUCGUGAGAGACUGCCGGGGUUAACUCGGAGGAAGGNGGGGAUGACGUCAAAUCAUCAUGCCCCUUAUGUCCAGGGCUUCA
rnacentral:rRNA from 1 species